AUUGAACGCUGGCGGCAUGCCUAACACAUGCAAGUCGAGCGGAUGCAGGGAGCUUGUUCCUGGAUUCAGCGGGGGAGGGGUGAGGAAGGCCUAUGAAUCUGCCUGGUAGCGGGGGAUAACGUCCGCUAACGGGCGCAUAUACCGAUAACGCCCAGGGCGAGAAGGUGGGGGAGGUGCGCAGCUCGGCCUCGUGGUAGAGCCGAGGCCGGAUUCGCUAGUUGGUGGGGUAAAGGCCAACCAAGGCGACGAUCCGUAGCUGGUCUGAGAGGAAGAUCAGGCACACUGGAACUGAGACACGGUCCAGACUCCUACGGGAGGCAGCAGUGGGGAAUUUUGGACAAUGGGCGCAAGCCUGAUCCAGCCAUGCCGCGUGUGUGAAGAAGGUCUUCGGAUUGUAAAGCACUUUAGGUUGGGAAGAAGGGCAGUAAGUUAAUAUCAUGCUGUUAUGACGUUACCAACAGAAUAAGCACCGGCUAACUUCGUG
rnacentral:rRNA from 1 species